ACGAGCACAUUAUGCAACAUCACCAAGCGCUCAAUCGGUGACGUCUGAGUCUCAAGGUCGGUCAAAAAUGGGGUGUCUACAGGAGGUUACUUUUCUGAACCUUUUUAUUUUUGUCCCAUUAAAUACCACUGCUCUUCAUUCUUUCUCUGUGAAUAAAUUUCUUGGUCUUAGGACGAGGACAUGGAGCUUUGUCGACCUCCCAUUUCAGAUUCUCCAGUGGUGCGUAGCAACGAUGAGGACAUCACAGAAGUGAUUUUUGAUGCUGAGGGAAAUUUUGACAACUGAGAUAAUUCUGGUAGCGAUGACGAUGCACCAGGGGGCCUCUCAUUCCUCCUGAAGCAUUGAAACCUCUCUCUUGCGACCUAGAUUAGUCUUAGGCGUGUCUUUUCCUCAUGUUGCUCCCAAAAGGAAAGAAACACAUCAUCUAUACAUAUAGCAUCGACCUAUAUGAUGAUGAUUAGAACUUAUGUAUAAUGAAGCCACCCCUUGUUGAAUAUUGUUAACUGAAAUGGGUUAGAAACCUUAGCUUGAACUUUUUGUAAAACUCCCCUGUAAAAUACAACUCUUUUUAUGUACAAAUUGGACACCACUAUUGUUUGGUUUAUCUGAGCUUGAUCAACACUAAUUCCUUCCCCUGACAGAAGCAAAUAACAUUUGAGCAGAAACAGGGAGUCUGCUUAUACAAAAGAACUGAGCUGGUCCUUUCUUUUGGCCACCAGACACAAAACUGGCUAGCUGAACAGGAAUUGGUUUGGUUGGCCAUAUAAGGAUUUUCAGGGACAAUUUCUACUUCUUACCUGCCAAAAUGUUUAUAAAAUCAACCCAACGGUUUAUUUUAAUCCUACACCAUUCAAAACACUCUCCCUCUACUUCUCACUUCAUCUCUCUUUAGAUUUUAUCCUUUCCUUGCCUUUCCAACCAAGCCACUUCCAUUUUUCCUCAAAAUUGGCCACUCUUUUUACAUUUUGAACUAAAAGGUUUGUGGUUUUUUUGAGUUUGAGUUUUCUUACUUUCUCUUACAUGUUUCACACGGCUUAGGCCAAGCCUUCUUCCUCUCUCUUUGGUUUCUUACAUUUCUAUUAGUUUUUUGGAUUUCGGGCGACCUGUGUUAGAUUCUUUUGAUUUCUUCCUCACUCUCCUACAGUUUUUGGUUACCCAUCCCCCAUUUCUUCUCAUGGCAGCUGAUAUUUCCCAUGGAGAUGCUCCUCAUGCUAUCCCAGAUACCGACAUGCCUCCACCGGCCUUUGAGGCUGAUGUCCACAUAGACGCAGAGGAUGUAGACGUCCAGAUGGAUUCUUCUGACUUAGCGGCAGAGGAUAUGAUUCUUUCUGAACAAGAGAAAGUGCUACCAUCAUUGCAUCUAAGGCUCGACUACAUAUCACCCUUAUGUUCACCAUUUGAUUUACGGAAGCAUGCUCACAUUCGAUGAGUUUGAACUGUGAGUUGCCCUAGAUGAGUUGCUCUAAGAGAGAUGGGUGCACCUAUCCCAUAGUGCCCCAGAUGGAUGACAAUCGGUAGAUGAAGGGAUAUGGGACAGGCCUGCACCCUCUCGUUGGUAUGGAGUUCUUUCUGUUGGAGUCUAGGCUUUGAUGGACCAAGCUAGUUUCAGUCCAUUUUGCAUGCGGAUCAUCCAGCUUCAGGCCACUCGCUCAGUUUUGAGGCUGAUGUCCACAUACACGCAGAGGAUGUAGACGUCCAGAUGGAUUAUUUUGACUUAGCGGUAGAGGAUAUGAUUCUUUCUGAACAAGAGGAAGAGCUACCAUCAUUGCAUCUAAGGCUCAGCUACAUAUCACCCUUAUGUUCACCAUUUGAUUUACGGAAGCAUGCUCACAUUUGAUGAGUUUGAACUGUGAGUUGCCCUAGAUGAGUUGCUCUAAGAGAGAUGGGUGCACCUAUCCCAUGGUGCCCCAGAUGGAUGACAAUCGGUAGAUGAAGGGAUAUGGGACAGGCCUGCACCCUCUCGUUGGUAUGGAGUUCUUUCUGUUGGAGUCUAGGCUUUGACGGACCAAGCUAGUUUCGGUCCAUUUUGCAUGCGGAUCAUCUAGCUUUAGGCCACUCGCUCAGUUUUUAUUGCUUUUUAUGGAAAUGUGGUGUGAUACCACCAAUUCCUUCCACUUUUCUUCAGUUAGGGAGAUAAGGAUGUCCCUGUAUGACUUCUCCAUGAUCACAGGCUUUAGGGUAGGAGGCGAUCCCAUCUCCUUUGACUCAGACAUAGGGUAUUAGAGCACAGCCCGGGUUUACUUGCUUGGGGCCAUUCCCCCAAAGGAUAGCCCGAAGAUCAUCCGAUAUAGCUAGCCUUGUUGAAGUUUUCUUGGCACACAUCCCAAGACCCCAGAGGCCAUAAUCCACUAUACAAGUGGCUUUCUUCUUUAUGUCGUCAAUACUACUCUAUUUGCGAACAGAGAGAAUACCAUUGGAUUGUAGUUUCUGAGUGCUAUAGUGGAUAUCCUUUAGAUAAGAGAGUACGAUCGGGAAGGUGCAGGUCUAGCCACCCUAUUCAGUUAUGCAAGCUCAUCCUCCUACCAUAAGGCAAGACUUCUUGAAGGAUACUGGUAGGCAUGGGAGAUAUAUGGGUACUCUUAUUUCCCUGACCUUGCCCUAGUCCUAAUGCAUGAGAUUGAUUGGGCGAUGCCUUGAUCUCUAUACUUUGACAGUGCCUUCCAAUUACGGGAUUGCUAGGAUUGCAGUUUCACCAAUUUCUGCUACUAGUUUGACAUCGUGACUCCUGCUCAGGUAAGUGAACCUCAAGACUCAAUCCCAGUCCUAUUUUUAAUUCCUUUAUUUCCAUGUGUCACAAUUUGAUGUCUUUUACACAUUUUGUACUUGCAUAUUGAAUGACAUCCUUGGGUUGCUAUGCCCUAGGCUAAAAAAGAGUGAUAUGUCAGAUCUUGGGUAGCUUCUCGGAUGAGGAUACUUUUGGAGGGCCUCUAUAGCAGUUCCUGGUUCCUAUGAGAGCAUUUUCUUCAACAAAACCAUGGACUUGGUAUUCUAGAUGUUCUAUUCCCACCACCUACUCACAUGAGGACUGCGAAUGUGAUCAUACACAUGGCCGAGCUCGAGGCCUUGAUGGAUAGCCAAGAUGAAGAUUUAUUUCAUGGGUCUGGUGACUAUACCGCCUUUUUGUAGUCCAACAUCAUACCUCCUAUCACUCAAGAUACUGCUUGAGUACUUGCUGUCGGUGUUGCAGUCACUAUCCCUAUUUCUGCUGAUGCUUCUGCCCCUGGAAGUGUUGUUCCUACAGUUGUUGUUCCUCUAGUCGAUCCUUUCAUCGAUUUUCCUACGCUUUCGGCUUUGAUCACAUAUAUGAGCCCAAGUAGUGCCCUUAGGGAGAUCCGUUUUGAGCUUCUUGAGGACUAAGUGCUCACCUAUGCCCCAAACAUGAGACAAAUAUACCUUACCUCUUCCACAUCUUUCUCGAAUAGUCAAAUGCUGCUUUUACUUUUCUUUAUGCAUGUUUUCAUUUUCGUUUGUAGCCUUCUGCAAUUUACAUAGAGCGGUGCCUCCUGGUGAUGAGUCGUUGGUCCACAUGGUGCAAAUGAGAGACUAUGUUCUUGUCGCUGCCAGAGUGCAGGUAUCCCACCUUGACUUGUUCUAUUUUGUCCAUUUCAUACUUUCAUUUUGAUUUAUUCUGAUAACCUGCUCUCAUUUUUGUACUUCUUGUUCUGACAUUCUACUUUUUGUCAACCUUUAUUUUAUCUUGAUGCGGUACCAGUGAUACCUCAUCCUACUGUAGGGAGAGGAAGAGAAGGACCCCUAGUAUGAGAGAGAUGUGUGGAUCAAGGCCAAUGUAGAGGUGCUCCUAGUAAAGGUAGAUGUAGAGGUGCCCAGGUGGUGGAGAGCUCUUUCUCCUCAAAGAGGACUCCUACUACUUCCAUGGAGGAUGAUGUUGUCGGUGGUGAGACCUUCGAGGAUAGCGAGGUUAGCAGAGAUGCAAGCAUCAACAUAGAGCACUCCGAGGGUAGUGAUGUCGAUGAUGAUGAUGAUGAUGAGGGAGACAACAAUAGUCGUAAUGAUGCUAGUGGUAGUGAUGCUAGUGGCUCUAAAGAUGAGAGUGGUGGUGGUGAUAAUGAUACUGGAGGUGAAGAGGAUGCUGAGGCCAGAUGUGAUGACAUUGGGGCUGAUAGAGAUGAUUCUGGGAUUCCGUCAAAGGAGAAGACGAAGAGGGAAAAGAUGUGGUGAUCCCACCCAACUAGGGGUGUGGAAGUAUGUGUGUUGGGAGUAC